rnacentral:sRNA from 1 species
CCUUUGUUUACCUACCUCUGUUGCUUUGGCGGUGCCGCCCCCGGGCGCCCGCCAGAGGACUUCAAAACUCCAGUCAGUGAACGUCUCAGUCUGAAAAACAAGUUAAUAAACUAAAACUUUCAACAACGGAUCUCUUGGUUCUGGCAUCGAUGAAGAACGCAGCGAAAUGCGAUAAGUAAUGUGAAUUGCAGAAUUCAGUGAAUCAUCGAAUCUUUGAACGCACAUUGCGCCCCUUGGUAUUCCGGGGGGCAUGCCUGUUCGAGCGUCAUUUCAACCCUCAAGCUCUGCUUGGUAUUGGGCUCCGUCCUCCUCGGACGCGCCUCAAAGACCUCGGCGGUGGCGUCUUGCCUCAAGCGUAGUAGAAACACCUCGCUUUGGAGUGCAUGGCGUCGCCCGCCGGACGAAACCUUUUGUAUUCGGCGAGUGAAGCGGCAAUAGCUCAAAUUUGAAAGCUGGCCCCUUUGGGGUCCGCGUUGUAAUUUGUAGAGGAUGAUUCGGCGAGGGCUCCCGUCUAAGUCCCCUGGAACGGGGCGUCAUAGAGGGUGAGAAUCCCGUAUGUGAUGGGUUGCCUUAGCCAUGUGAAUCUCCUUCGACGAGUCGAGUUGUUUGGGAAUGCAGCUCUAAAUGGGAGGUAAAUUUCUUCUAAAGCUAAAUACCGGCCAGAGACCGAUAGCGCACAAGUAGAGUGAUCGAAAGAUGAAAAGCACUUUGGAAAGAGAGUUAAAAAGUACGUGAAAUUGUUGAAAGGGAAGCGCUUGCAGCCAGACUUGUCCGCAGUUGCUCAGCCGGUCUCCUGACCGGCGUACUCUUCUGCGGCCAGGCCAGCAUCAGUUCGGGCGGUCGGAUAAAGACCCUAGGAAUGUAGCUCCUCUCGGGGAGUGUUAUAGCCUGGGGUGGAAUGCGGCCAGCCUGGACUGAGGAUCUCGCUUCGGCUAGGAUGCUGGCGUAAUGGCUGUAAGCGGCCCGUCUUGAAACACGGACCAAGGAGUCUAACAUCUAUGCGAGUGUUUGGGUGUCAAACCCAUACGCGUAAUGAAAGUGAACGGAGGUGGGAACCCUCACGGGUGCACCAUCGACCGAUCCUGAUGUCUUCGGAUGGAUUUGAGUAAGAGCAUA